UCCGGUUUGUUUCCGGCGGUCUCCCUAGAUUUGCAACUAAGGACAAGGGUUGCGCUCGUUGCGGGACUUAACCCAACAUCUCACGACACGAGCUGACGACAGCCAUGCAGCAUCUGUGCACCUGUCCGAAGAGGCCCUCCUUUCAGAGGGUUGCAGGUGUAUGUCAAGCCUUGGUAAGGUUCUUCGCGUCGCAUCGAAUUAAACCACACGCUCCGCUGCUUGUGCGGGUCCCCGUCAAUUCCUUUGAGUUUUAGUCUUGCGACCGUACUCCCCAGGCGGGCCACUUAAUGCGUUAGCUUCGGCACGGAAGGGGUCAACACCCCCCACACCUAGUGGCCAUCGUUUACGGCGUGGACUAC
rnacentral:misc_RNA from 1 species